rnacentral:lncRNA from 10 species
AAAAAAACUAUAUCCUGUUCUUGUCUACCUGUUCCACUGCCUGGGGAGAGAGGCGGCCAUCAGCGUGGGCCUGUCAACUUCACCCCUCCUUCUGCCCUUUGUGCUGCCUGUACUGAAGCCAUGUCACUGCCCUCGCCCCUGCAACGUCACCCGUCACCUCCUGCCUUGGUCUAUCCCACCUGAUAUGGACAGUGACACCAGCCUUCUUCCUGUUAUGGUCUGCAUGCACUUUAGAGACGGCGCGCCUCAGCUGCCUUCGGGUGUCACUCUGCAGGUCAUGCAUUCCCACCCCGUCCUGUCCUCGGGCUGGAGAUUGUUCUCUUCGGGUUCCAGCAAUUCAACCAGGAUGCUCUGAGAUCUCUGGUGAAAUUCCCAUCAUUCCCCCGACUUUCUUGAAUAAUCAAUCAGUUACCAAAGUCCCUGCCUCCUGCCUCCAGCAUUUAAGUCCCCGACAGGUCCUUCACCGACAUUUUCCUCUUCAUCAUCAGUACCUUGGUCUUUAAAACACUAUUUUAAGCACCGCCUCCACCGUGGCUGAAAACUCUAAGAGCACUGGGUGUUUUUCUUCCUCCAAAGGAGGAAAAAAGAAACAAAAUUAUUAAAGUUGCGAAUAUGUGAGUUAAAAAAAGAAAAGCGUAAGACACAACAAAGACAAGAGAUGUAAAAAAAGAAUCACAGAGACAGAAAAACACAAGAAGACACCCCGGUCUCCCGGUGCAGGCCGUCCCUGACAGCAGCAGGCGCCAGCUCUUCCUGAGCUCACCCAGGCCAGGCCAGCACCCCUCCCAAGGUGCAGAGUCCGCCAGCAUCCCCGUGGGGCUGGCCCAAGGCUUCCCUUUGUUUACUGGGUAGGAACCAAGAGCACAGAGCCUGGAACACAGCAGGCCCUGCAGCCACAGCCUCUGUCUUGGGAGCCCCCGUGGGUGCCCCCUCUGACUCCUGGAACAAUGUUUGUUCCACUGUGUCUUGGCAGAUAAGCCUGCCUGUGAUUGAGUAGAAAGAUCUCCAGUUAAAUGGGAGGCCGAGGCAGGUGGAUCACUUGAGGUCAGGAAUUCAAGACCAGCCUGGCCAACAUAGUGAAACCCAUCUCUACUAAAAAUACAAAACUUAGCCAUGCGUGGUGGUGCAGAUCUGUAAUCCCAGCUACUCAGGAGGCUGAGGCGAGAGAAUCGCUUGAGCCUGGUGGGUGGAGUUGCAGUGAGCCGAGAUUGCGCCAUUGCACUCCGGCCUGGGCGUUAGAGCGAGACUCUGUCUCAAAAAAAAAGACAGACCUCCAGUUAGAAUCAGGACGCCCGGGUGUGAGAGCCUGCUCUGCUGCUCACCGCAUCUGCACCUGAGCCUGCAGAGGGCAGGGUAUGCGCUGUUGGGCACCAACGUCAAGAGGACAGAGAGCUAACAGGUGCUGGG